rnacentral:rRNA from 15 species
GGCGAGUGAAGCGGGAAGAGCUCAAGUUGAGAAGCGUUGUCACUUGUGGCAUCGCGUUGUAAACUGAUGAGCGUGGGUCAGUGGUGGACCUGGGGGCAGGUUGUUUGGAACAACGCGUUAUAAAGGGUGAGAACCCCGUACAUACCCCGGAGAUCCCCACGUACGACUACGUUUCGAUGAGUCGUGUUGUUUGGGAUUGCAGCACUAAUUGGGAGGUAAGCUUCUUCCAAAGCUAAAUAUUAGCCGGAGACCGAUAGCGAACAAGUAC